GAUACUGGCUCAGGAUGAACGCUAGCUACAGGCUUAACACAUGCAAGUUGAGGGGCAGCAUGGUCUUAGCUUGCUAAGGCCGAUGGCGACCGGCGCACGGGUGAGUAACGCGUAUCCAACCUGCCUUACACUCUUGGACAGCCUUCUGAAAGGGAGAUUAAUACAAGAUGUUAUCAUGAGUAAGCAUUUUCGCAUGAUUAAAGGUUUACCGGUGUAAGAUGGGGAUGCGUU
rnacentral:rRNA from 1 species